UGUCCUGCGGCCAAGGACUCGUCGAUCUCAGUUCCGACCCCGGCUGCUCUCUGUCUCCCAAUGCCCUGCUUCCCUCGCGAGCGACCCUCAGCCGUUUGCUUGUCUCCGUGUGGUCUCUGGUCUGCUGAGUCCUCUGCCUUUCUCAUUCUUUCUUGAAUUUUAGAUUCGCUCCGCAUCGCUCCGGUGCGACCACACGCGUUGCGCCGGCAGUGUCUCGUGGGCCAGCUGACCAGUCCGCAGGGCCGGAAGACACUCUGUUCGGUCUCGCAGCGCCGCGCUCCUCGAGUUUUACACACUCACAAUCUGCAUCCAGGUCCCCUUUUAUUCCCUUUGUUUUCUUUCUUUUCUUCCCGAUCUGUCGUUUCGCUAGUGCCUUGCUGGACGGUGAGCGCGGCGCGCAGUGUCUGAUUCGACUUCCUGUUCUGCAAUGUCCGGUACAGGACCCGUCCUGGUUCGCGUACGGUGGUACUCGCUCUCACUUAUCCGUUUCUUUACCCUUUGUUCCGCUCUUCGAAUUCUCUUUUCUCUCUGCGUUCCACUGCUUUCGUUCUCUCAGCCUUCGCGGCGUGGGGGCUUUUCUCGCCGUGCCUCAACCGCGUUUCUUUCCUUGCUUGAAUCCCCGGCGGCUAGCGCUACUCCCGCUCUGUUCCGAUUCUCCCCGUCGCAUCUUUUCCCCUUUCCCACCUUUCGCGCGUUGCAUCUGGGAACGUGUGUUGCCUUGUGGGAAGGACCAGAGGCGGAAACGUAGCCGUUUCUGAGAACGAGACAGAUAAAAUAGACAAAACGCAGUUGCCUCACGUCUUUCUGCUCCACUGCCCCCGUGAUGAACACACACGCACUUGCGGUGUAUGUACAGGGGCGUUGCGCACUUCUGUUCAUACAACUAGAAAACGACAGAGUGCUUCGGAUCACAGAAGGAACCCACGCCUUUCCAUUUUCGCCCUCCGCUGCACUGGACCGCGAGCAGAACGACACGCGAACACGCGCAACACACGUGCGCAAAACAAACUCGUAACUCUUCGAGGCUCUACUCACAUACGCA
rnacentral:lncRNA from 1 species